GUUGGAGGUUGCAGUGAGCCAAGAUCGUGCCAUUGCACUCCAGCCUGGGCAACAGAGCGAGACUCUGUCAAAAAACAAAAACAAAACAAAACAAAAAACCUUUUGGUACUAAUAGGUAUUUAAUCUACUAUAACUGUGAAAACUAUGUCUGUGAAUUCUUUUUUUUUUUUUUCCCCCCAGCUCUGUCUGCUGAAACUCCUUACAUUUAUUCUCCUAACUUACUUAUCCUUCAGAGCCCAGUUCAGGGGAUGUCUUCAUGAAGUCCCCCUCGCCCCAGCUCUGUGCUUCCAUAGGACCCAUGCCCACCUCUCUCUGCUUCCCACUGUGUGCAGGUCCUACCUCCUCAUUUUAUUGUGCUUUACUUUAUUGUGCUUCACAGAUGCUGCAUUUUUUACAGAUUGAAGAUUUGUGGCAACCUACAUCAAGUCUCCCCUACUUCAUGAGAUAUAAUAUUGAAAUUGGACCAAUUAAUAAACCUAUAAUGGCUUUUAAAUGUUCAAGUGAAAGGAAGAGUUACAUGUGUCUCUCUUUAAAUCAAAAACUAGGAAUGAUUAAGCUUAGUAAGGAAGGAAGAUUGAAAGCCAAGACAAGCCAAAAGCCAGCCCUCUUGCAACAGUUAACCAAGUUGUGAAUGUAAAAGAGAAGUUCCUAAAGGAAAUUAAAAGUGCUACUCCAGUGAAUGUCGGAAUGCUAAGAAAGCAAAACAGCCUUAUUGCUGAUGUGGAGAAAGUUUCAGUGAUCUGAAUAGAAGAUCAAACCAGCCACGACAUUCCCUUAAGCCAAAGCUUGAUUCAGUGCAAGAUCCUGACUCUCUUCAAUUUUAUGAAGGCUCAGAGAAGGCUGCAGUGUUUGAAGAGAAAAAACUUUGAAAAAUGCUUUUCAAAGUUUGAAGCUAGCAGAGGUUGAUUCAUGAGUUUUAAGGAAAAAAGCAACAUAAAAAUGCAAGGUGAAGUAGCAAGUACUGAUGCAGAAGCUGUAGCAAGUUAUCCAGAAGAUCUAGCUGUGGUAGCUAGAUGAUGGAAUGAAGGUGGCUACACUAAACAACAGAUUUUCAAUGGAGAUGAAACAGUGUUGGAAGAAGGUCCCAUCUAGGACCUUUAUAGCUAAAGAGGAGAAGUGAGUGUCUGGCUUCAAAACUUCAAAGGACAGGCUGACUCUCUUGUUAGUGGUGAAUGCAGCUGGUGACUUUAAGUUGAAGCCAAUGCUCAUUGACCAUUCUAAGAAUCCUAGAGCCCUUAAAAAUUAUGCUCAGUCUACUCUGCCUGUGCUCUAUAAAUGGAAUAAAAAAGCCUGGAUGACA